rnacentral:rRNA from 1 species
CAGCCGCCGCGGGAAUACGAAGGGUGCAAGCGUUACUCGGAAUUACUGGGCGUAAAGCGUGCGUAGGCGGUUGGUUAAGUCUGCUGUGAAAGCCCUGGGCUCAACCUGGGAACUGCAGUGGAAACUGGCCAGCUAGAGUGUGUCAGAGGAUGGUGGAAUUCCCGGUGUAGCGGUGAAAUGCGUAGAGAUCGGGAGGAACACCAGUGGCGAAGGCGGCCAUCUGGGACAACACUGACGCUGAGGCACGAAAGCGUGGGGAGCAAACAGGAUUAGAUACCCGUGUAGUCCCUGUCUCUUAUAA